CAGCAGCCGCGGUAAUACGAACCGUGCGAACGUUAUUCGGAAUUACUGGGCUUAAAGCGCGUGCAGGCGGGCCCGAACGUCCGGUGCUGAAAGCCCCCGGCUCAACCGGGGAGGGUCAUUGGAAACUGGGAAACUUGAGUGCAGAAGAGGAGAGUGGAAUUCCACGUGUAGCGGUGAAAUGCGUAGAGAUGUGGAGGAACACCAGUGGCGAAGGCGACUCUCUGGUCUGUAACUGACGCUGAGGAGCGAAAGCGUGGGGAGCGAACAGGAUUAGAUACCCGGGUAGUCCCUGUCUCUUAUA
rnacentral:rRNA from 1 species